AUUUUUACUAUAUAAAAAGGGAGUAAUAGAACGAAUCACACUUUUACCACUAAACUAUACCCGCUACUAUGCAAUUAUUGUAUACAAA
rnacentral:tRNA from 1 species